rnacentral:rRNA from 1 species
GAUGAACGCUGGCGGCGUGCCUAAUACAUGCAAGUCGAGCGAACAGACGAGGAGCUUGCUCCUCUGACGUUAGCGGCGGACGGGUGAGUAACACGUGGAUAACCUACCUAUAAGACUGGGAUAACUUCGGGAAACCGGAGCUAAUACCGGAUAAUAUAUUGAACCGCAUGGUUCAUUAGUGAAAGACGGUUUUGCUGUCACUUAUAGAUGGAUCCGCGCCGCAUUAGCUAGUUGGUAAGUUAACGGCUUACCAAGGCGACGAUGCGUAGCCGACCUGAGAGGGUGAUCGGCCACACUGGAACUGAGACACGGUCCAGACUCCUACGGGAGGCAGCAGUAGGGAAUCUUCCGCAAUGGGCGAAAGCCUGACGGAGCAACGCCGCGUGAGUGAUGAAGGUCUUCGGAUCGUAAAACUCUGUUAUUAGGGAAGAACAAAUGUGUAAGUAACUAUGCACGUCUUGACGGUACCUAAUCAGAAAGCCACGGCUAACUACGUG